AAUGGGGUUGGAGGUACCUCAACGUGCGUCCAUGUUUUCAAAUUUGGAAAAAGUCAAUAUAUAUACGUAUAUAUGUAUGUAUAUAUAUUACAUUUUUGACAACAAGAUUUGUUAUAUAUAUUGUUACUUUCCAAUGACUUUUUUCUUUUGUUUUCUAGCAGAAGUGAAAGAAGGAAGGUUCAGAUCCAAUACUGGCUGAGCUGCUGUUGAAAAGAACAACACACUCGUACUCACUCCAAACCUAAUCAAACACCCUCGGUGAAUUGUUUAGCAUUUGAAGGCUUGAUCUUUUGUGCCGUCUACUGGACAAUGGAAAAACUGCAGCCUAAAUGACAAACUUCCCUCCUCCAGUAUUAGUAAUGGAGGGGGAGGGAUACAUUGAAGAGCCUGGGGUGACAUUGACUCUAAGCUUACAGCAUGGGGAGCUCAGGAUGGUUUCAUUUCACUUCUGCAGAAAAGUCCCUACAACAAAAGCUAACAAGCAGAAAAUUCUUCCAGGAACGGAUCACAAGUGAGCACAGCUCUGUCCUGUAUUCUAAGCUAGUAAUGGAGGUACAGUACGGGAGCUGAAGAGGUCUAGCAGACGUGCUCCAGUCAUCAACUGCAAACAUUUACCUUUGAAGCAACUGGAUGAGCCAGAUUGGUUAUGGUUUGCAUCCAUGUUCGACUUGAUAAAGGGGCAUAAUUUGUGAAAAGCCUUCAGGCAAAAAUCGUACUGAUUAUUCAAAACUAAAUAUUUUAACAUUUCAUUGAGUUAGCUAAUGAAUAAGAAAAACAUCGAAGGCUUCCUGCAGCUCAGAAAGAAUUCUAGUGGCGUGGAAAGCACAAGGAGCAAAGAACAAGAAACUGAAGGACUCCUGCUGAGCAGUUAUUCGCUUGUGAAUAUCUGAAAAUGUAUUCUUCUG
rnacentral:lncRNA from 1 species